rnacentral:ncRNA from 2 species
UUGAUUGGAUAAUAUCCAGGCGAAGGGAACCCCGUGACCUCCGUUUAGUCGGAGAAAGUCGGGGACGGACCCGCCGCUGUAGUCCCGAUCCCGAAAUUUAUUCGGGAUAAGUGCCUUAACCAGAAAGCCACUAUGCUGAUGCAUGGGAAGGCGAGUUAAGGUCGGGAGAGUCAGAAAACCUGGCCUGGAUAUGCUUCACGAA